CCUGUGGGGCCAGGUCAAACCUUAUGUUCGAGGCAAAAUUUUGUUUGCCCCCAACAACGUGGCAACACGGAGGAUCAUUAGCAAGGUGAAUGAAACUUUCGAGCCGCUGAACAGACUGAUGAAGUUGACUCAGCGUUGGACUGUGGACAUCGCACCCAAGCUGGUACAUUGGCUGAGCAACAACUCCGCAAGGUUGGAACAAGUCAAGGUCAGCGAUACAUUUUUUUCUUUGGUGGAUUUAUUUAUUUG
rnacentral:misc_RNA from 1 species